GGUUACCUUGUUACGACUUCACCCCAGUCAUGAAUCACAAAGUGGUAAGCGCCCUCCCGAAGGUUAAGCUACCUACUUCUUUUGCAACCCACUCCCAUGGUGUGACGGGCGGUGUGUACAAGGCCCGGGAACGUAUUCACCGUGGCAUUCUGAUCCACGAUUACUAGCGAUUCCGACUUCAUGGAGUCGAGUUGCAGACUCCAAUCCGGACUACGACGCACUUUUGAGGUCCGCUUGCUCUCGCGAGGUCGCUUCUCUUUGUAUGCGCCAUUGUAGCACGUGUGUAGCCCUGGUCGUAAGGGCCAUGAUGACUUGACGUCAUCCCCACCUUCCUCCAGUUUAUCACUGGCAGUCUCCUUUGAGUUCCCGGCCGGACCGCUGGCAACAAAGGAUAAGGGUUGCGCUCGUUGCGGGACUUAACCCAACAUUUCACAACACGAGCUGACGACAGCCAUGCAGCACCUGUCUCACGGUUCCCGAAGCACAUUCUCAUCUCUGAAAACUUCCGUGGAUGUCAAGACCAGGUAAGGUUCUUCGCGUUGCAUCGAAUUAAACCACAUGCUCCACCGCUUGUGCGGGCCCCCGUCAAUUCAUUUGAGUUUUAACCUUGCGGCCGUACUCCCCAGGCGGUCGACUUAACGCGUUAGCUCCGGAAGCCACGCCUCAAGGGCACAACCUCCAAGUCGACAUCGUUUACGGCGUGGACUACCAGGGUAUCUAGUCCUGUUUGCUCCCCACGCUUCGCACCUGAGCGUCAGUCUUCGUCCAGGGGGCCGCCUUCGCCACCGGUAUUCCUCCAGAUCUCUACGCAUUUCACCGCUACACCUGGAAUUCUACCCCCCUCUACGAGACUCAAGCUUGCCAGUAUCAGAUGCAGUUCCCAGGUUGAGCCCGGGGAUUUCACAUCUGACUUAACAAACCGCCUGCGUGCGCUUUAAGCCCAAUGAUUCCGAACAACGCUUGCCUCCUCCGUAUUACCGCGGCUGCUGGCACGGAGUAGCCGAGGCUUCCUUUGGGGUUGGUCACUUUCUUCCUAACCCCUGACAGUAGUUUACACACCGAAGUGCUUCGUCCUACACGCGGCGUCGCUCCGUCAGACUUUCGUCCAUUGCGGAAUAUUCGUUGCUGCAGCCAUCCGUAGAUGUCCGGGCAGUGUCUCAGUCCCGAUGUGCCAGAUCGCGCUCUCACGCCUGGUACCCGUCGAUGCCUUGGUGGGCCGUUACCUCACCAACAAGCUGAUGGGAGAUAGGCCGCUCCAGACCUGCGGACCUUUGAUCAUCAGACCAUGCGAUCCAACGAUAUCAUCAGGUAUUAUCGGCACUUUCGCUAAAGCCCCGAAGGGCGCCGCUAUUCCUGUGUCCGGGGUACGUUACCUAUCUAUUCCUCACCCGUUCGCCACUAAGUGUGCUUCCGUUACCUUCCACACACUCCGUUCGACUUGCAUGCCUUAGCCACGCCGCCAGCGUUCGUUCUGAGCCAGGAUCAAACUCU
rnacentral:rRNA from 1 species